rnacentral:piRNA from 1 species
UCCAUUCUCCACAGGACCAGAUCUCAG